rnacentral:lncRNA from 1 species
AGAAAUCUUUGCCUAUCUCAAGGUCACAAAGAUUUUCUCCUGUUUCUUUGUGAACAAAAACUUUCUCUUUGUGAAAUUCUGUCUAGAAAUUUUACAGUUGUAGCUUUUACAUUUAGUUCUAGGACUGUUUCAUGCUGCGUGUGAUAAAAGUUGAUGUUCAUUUUUCCCCUCAUAUAUUUCCAGUAAUUUCAACACCAUAUGUUGGAAAUUUUUCCUUUUACCACUGAAAUGUCUUUGUACCCUUGCUAAAGCCAAUUGAUCACAUAUGUGUGAUCCAUAUCUGGACUUUGUAUUCCAUUCCAUUUUUCUAGAUGUUUACUUUUAUGCUAACCCUACAUUAUCUUGAGCUCUGUAGUUUUGUAAUAAUUCUUGACGUAAGGCAUAUAAGGCCUCCAGCUUUGUUCUUACUUCAAGAUUUAUUUUGCUAUUUUAGGUUCAUUGCAUUUCCAUAUACAUUUUAGAAUGAGCUUAUCAGUGUCUACGAAAAGAUUGCUAGAACCUAUAGAUUAAUUUGGGAAAAAGUGGUAUUUAAUAGUCUUGUGUCCUCUACUCUGUGAACACGGUAGGUAGCUCCAUUUAUUUAGGUCUACUUUAAUUUCUCUUAGUAAUGUUCUGUAAUUUUCAGUAGAUGCUGUUUCAUAGCUAUUGUUAAGGGUUUUUUUUUUUUUUGAUUUUGUUUUCCUCUUUUUUUAUGAGCAAAUAGAAACACAACUAAUUAUUUCUGUGUAAAGUAUUAUGCCCCAAAGUCAAGUGGCUUAAAACAACGAGCACUUAUCUCUUGCCAUUUCUGUGGGUUUGAUAUUCAGGUGUAGCUUACUUGGUUUUGCUGUGGGUCUCUAAUGAAGGUUCAGUCAAGAUGUUGACUGGGCCUGGAGUCAUCUAAAAGCUUGACUGACGCUGCAGGGUCUGCUUCCAAGAUGGCUCACUCAUGUGUCUGGCAAGUUGAUGGUGACUUGGAUAGGAGGCCUCAAUUUCUUUACAUAUGAGCUUCUUCACAGAGCUGCUUGAGUGUCUUCAUGACAUUGUAGCUGGCUUCUCUCAGAACAAGUGAUUCAAAAGAAAGCAAGGCAGAAGCUGCAGUGCCUUUUGUGAUCUAGACUCAGAAGUCACAUGCCAUUAUCUCCACAAUAUCCAAUUGGUCACACAGGUCAGCACUAUUUUGUAUGGAAGGAAACCAUACAACGGCAUGAAUACCUGCAGAUGAGGGUCACUGGAAGCCAUCUUGAAGGUACAGUCAUGUGCCGCAUAAUGACAUUCAGUCAAUGACAGACUGCAUAUAUGAGGUGGUCCUGUAAGGUGAUAAUGGAGCUGAAAAAUUCCUACUACUGAACGACAUCAUAGCCAUUGUAACAUCAUAGCACAACCAAUCACCUUUUCUAUAUUUAGGAGCAAAGGCAAUACAAUGGAGAAGACAGUCUUUUAACAAAGGUGCUGGAAUAACUGGACAGCCAUGCACACACACAGAAAAGAAUCGAGACACAGACUUUACAUCUUCACAAAGGUAAUGCAAAAUGGAUCAUACACCUAAAUGUAAAAUACACAAUUAUGAAACUCCUAGAAGAUAACAUAGGAGAAAAUCUGACAACCUUGGGUUUGGCAAUGACUUUUUAGGUACAACACUGAAGGCACCGCCCAUGAAAGAAACAACUGAUAGGCUGAACUCCAUUAAAAUUAAAAGCUUUUGCUCUGCAAAUACAAGAGAAUGAGAACACAAACCAUAAGGAGUUCAUAUGCUGGAAUGAUAGUGACACAGGAGUUUAACACUCCUACAGUAUCCAGAGCCUGGAUCCCUGAGUCAUCAGAUGGAGAAGAACUACUCAGGAGAGUCAUCCAACCUUCAUAGACAGUGGCAUGAGUGGGAAUUAAACAUUGAUUAUGUUAA